CCGCCGGCGACCGGCGCACGGGUGAGUAACACGUAUGCAACCUGGCCGUGACAGAUGGAUAACCGGGAGAAAUCCCGCCUAAUACGGCAUGACGCCGGGAAGGGACAUCCCUUUCCGGCCAAAGGGGGCGACUCCGGUCACGGAUGGGCAUGCGGCGCAUUAGGUAGUUGGUGGGGCAACGGCCCACCAAGCCGACGAUGCGUAGGGGUUCUGAGAGGAAGGUCCCCCACAUUGGAACUGAGACACGGUCCAAACUCCUACGGAAGGCAGCAG
rnacentral:rRNA from 1 species